rnacentral:rRNA from 1 species
GACGAACGCUGGCGGCGUGCCUAAUACAUGCAAGUCGAGCGCAGGAAACUGACGGAACUCUUCGGAGGGAAGGCAGUGGAAUGAGCGGCGGACGGGUGAGUAACACGUAAGGAACCUGCCUCAAGGAUUGGGAUAACUCCGAGAAAUCGGAGCUAAUACCGGAUAGUUCAUCGGACCGAAUGGUCCGCUGAUGAAAGGCGCUUCGGCGUCACAGUGAGAUGGCCUUGCGGUGCAUUAGCUAGUUGGUGGGGUAACGGCCCACCAAGGCGACGAUGCAUAGCCGACCUGAGUGGGUGAUCGGCCACACUGGGACUGAGACACGGCCCAGACUCCUACGGGAGGCAGCAGUAGGGAAUCUUCCACAAUGGACGAAAGUCUGAUGGAGCAACGCCGCGUGAGUGAUGAAGGUUUUCGGAUCGUAAAACUCUGUUGUAAGGGAAGAACACGUACGAGAGGGAAUGCUCGUACCUUGACGGUACCUUACGAGAAAGCCACGGCUAACUACGUGCCAGCCGCCGCGGUAA